UACGUAGGGGGCAAGCGUUGUCCGGAAUCAUUGGGCGUAAAGAGCGUGUAGGCGGUUCGGUAAGUCGGCUGUGAAAGUCCAGGGCUCAACCCUGGGAUGCCGGUGGAUACUGUCGGGCUUGAGUACGGAAGAGGCGAGUGGAAUUCCUGGUGUAGCGGUGAAAUGCGCAGAUAUCAGGAGGAACACCAAUUGCGAAGGCAGCUCGCUGGGACGUUACUGACGCUGAGACGCGAAAGCGUGGGGAGCAAACAGG
rnacentral:rRNA from 1 species